GAUGGACGCUGGCGGCGUGCCUAAUACAUGCAAGUCGAGCGAACGGACGAGAAGCUUGCUUCUCUGAUGUUAGCGGCGGACGGGCGAGUAACACGUGGAUAACCUACCUAUAAGACUGGGAUAACUUCGGGAAACCGGAGCUAAUACCGGAUAAUAUUUUGAACCGCAUGGUUCAAAAGUGAAAGACGGUCUUGCUGACACUUAUAGAUGGAUCCGCGCUGCAUUAGCUAGUUGGUAAGGUAACGGCUUACCAAGGCAACGAUGCAUAGCCGACCUGAGAGGGUGAUCGGCCACACUGGAACUGGGACACGGUCCAGACUCCUACGGGAGGCAACAGUAGGGAAUCUUCCGCAAUGGGCGGAAGCCUGACGGAGCAACGCCGGGUGGGUGAUGGAGGUCUUCGGAUCGUAAAACUCUGUUAUUAGGGAAAAACAUAUGUGUAAGUAACUGUGCACAUCUUGACGGUACCUAAUCAGAAAGCCACGGCUAACUACGUG
rnacentral:rRNA from 1 species